GCGCCGAAGACGAUGAUAAGACCACCGCCAAGAUUAAGCGCAUUAAGAAAAGAACUAGUCGGUCUGAAAGAGCAUUAGUAAGGUUGAUUCGUACAAAGAAUGGGUUGUCGGAGAACAUGAUCAACGCAACACUGGUGGUAGCGGCGCUGGUCAUAACAGCGAUCUACCAAUCAUCUUUAAGCCCACCGAGAGGUCUUUGGCAAGGUGAUAACACGAGUAACCCCACCACCACCUCAAACCUUACUACUACCACUAAAUUUAAACUCUUUAACGACAAAUACGCUGAAAAACAUUCUAAACGUGUGUUGGGUAAUGAAACAAUGAAAACUGGUACGGCAAUCAUGAAUCCCAACUUGUUUUUAGGGUUUUGGUUAUUCAAUUUUAUAGCAUUUGGGCUUCCGGUUCUUCUAACCGUUUUCCUUUUAUACGAUGUAGCUCGUAUUCUUCUUCUCCCGCUUUAUUUUCUAUCCGUCUCCUACUUUAACUGCAUGACAAUAAUAUCUCCGUCCAUGUUUUGGGCAAACCUCAACUCUGUUGUCAUGUGGACAGCCAUUAUUCUCCCGUCUGUCUUAGUUUUUGGAGGCGUAUGGUUAUGUAUGCUGCCAAAGCACCGGGAAAUCAGACAAAUACGCAGACGUGUCCGCAAUGACAAUAAUAUCGGAAUAAUUCAGUACUUGCGAAUGUCAGUCUAACUUAUAUAUUAUAUUUAUGUACCCUUUUCCAUUUUCUCUGUAUUAAUAUCUUUUCUUUUUGAAAAAAGAAAAAACACUAUGUAAUUGCUUUGGAUAAAUUUAAUAAAAACAGAUAUAUUUGAAGUAUUGUUUGUUUAAAAUCCACUGAUUUCUAAAUGUGUUAAUAUCAUUUUCGAGUUAUUAAUUAAAAAUAUCUUUAACAUAAAGAUAUAUGUAAUAAUUACAUACUUAUUAUUUUAUCUAUAUAAUAAAAAGUUAUUGAUUAAAAAGAUGAAUUAAAAAAUUAGAAAAUAAUAUAUUUGUUAAUUAAAAGUACUAUUUUUUUAAAAAAAUAACAUGAGAUAAAAAUAUAAAUAUGCGUAGGAGAUGUCUCAAAAAUAAAAUGACUAACAUUUAACUAUUUGAUCAAAUGAAUUAAUGCGUCAAGUUAUUAAAAAAUAUAUAUUUUAUCCUACAAGAUGCAUUUUACAAAAUCAACUUAUUUCUAUAAAUAUUAAAAAAAUCUACCUAAUACUCUAAUUAUUUUCUAAAAAGGACAUAUAUUGCUAGUGUACCCUAAAACUAGGAUGCGCCACGCUUUCUAAAGCAAAUAAUAAUAAUACAUUAAUCUAAAUUUCAUGAGCCCUUUUCUUAAUUCUAAGAAAUAAAAUCUCUCAAAUAAAAAUAAUAAAUAAAAUAAUCUUAAGUCUCGUAUGCGAAAUUGAGUUUUUGUGUCAAAUUUGUAUAUUCGUUAUAGAAAUGAUAAAUUAAGUAAAAUUCAUGUCCAAAAUUAAUUAAAAUAAAUAAUAAAAAUAUAUUAUCAUCUAUAUUUUAUAAUAUUAACUAUCAUUUAAAUAUAUAUUGUCUACUUUAUAACAUAAAUAUUUUAUCUUUUAAAAAAUACUCUUCUUCUUCUUUUUUACAAACAAAGACUGGACAUAUUUAUUGAAGUAAUACAACAAUGAGAAUAAAAAACAAAAACCAGCCAAAUAAAUAUAAACCCUAGGACUUAAAACAUUUUUCAUCUAAAAAUAAGAAUAUUAAAAUACUGAAAAACCUCCAAAUUUACCGUUAUCUACAUCCAUUACUAAUCGUAGACAGUGACAAAGACACUCGACAGAUGAUAAGCAAAAAAAAAGUACUCUUUUAACUACAAUACUAAAAGCGUCCGCUAACCAUUUUUCUAUUAAGAUAUUAAUCAAGACGGAUUAACUUAGUGUUAAAUCGAGUAAGUCUAGGGGUGGGCGGUGCAUUUAGUUUACUUUUUGUCUCACGCUACAGUAUCGUUACAGUAUCUAAUCUCACCGCCACCGCUGUUUUUAUACUAACCGCAGGUAAACCCACCACCCAUCCAAACUCACCCUAGAUUAAGUCCGUGGAUGAAUUUCCACAUCUUUUUUUAGGCAUUAAAUUGAGAGCCAAUCAGGACCUUCCCCUAAUUCCCCUUACCAAUCUAUAAAAAAUUGGAUCUUUGGUUUGAUUUUAUCAAUAAAAGAAAUUCCUUCCUCGGUUUCUUAAAUUUGAUAACUUUUAUUAUAUAAUAUAAUUUUGUUCACUUUUCAUCAAUAAUAGAAUAGAAAAUAGAUAGUUGCUUCCUAUUUCAGCAAUAUAAAUAGUUACCAUGUGUUUUUAUGUUUUUAAUUUUUAAUAUAAUUAAUGUUAUAACCCUCCUUAUGAAGCUAGUUAAUGUAAAGAAUAAUAAUUCUAAUUAUCUAUGCUUAAAAUUAAUUCAGUUGUGCUUUCAAUCAAUGUAUGAUUUUGAUAUUGCAAGAGGUGUCCAGCUAUGUGGUGAGAUCUUGAAGGUGUGUCUUUGUAACAACUUGAGAAGCUUUUUGGACUUUUUUCUUCUUCUUUUAGGUUUAUUAUUAGUAAAUGAAUUUUUGCUGCGAAAAAUUAGCCUAAAAACAAAAUAUAAAAAUGAUAGGAAAUAUGUUAAUUUUAGACGACAAUUAAUGACAUUGCAAUAUUACUUAACAACAUGAACAAUCCCCACCAUCGUAUUGUCAUUCCCAAGUAAUGGCGUAUUCUCUUUACUCGGAAAAUAUCCCUCCUAACGCUGGCCGAAAUUGGUUGAAACAUUAUGCAGCUAAUUUGGUAAGAUAAUGGACGUGUUUAUUGCAUCAAAAAGAUUUCGUUAGGUAUGGUAGGUUGGAAGAAGCAAAGAGAGCAUUGUGGAGUCUAGAUGGAAGGUGGUUCUCUAAUCAUAGAUUGACAGUCAGUAUGGCGAAGUUUAAACCUAGAGAUGAUUUGUGGAGGAAGGCAAAUGGGAGAGAGGUCAGACAACAUACAUAGAAUAUGGAAAGAAGAUGUGUUGAAGGAAAUACGGGGCCGCAUGCAAGUGAGAUUAUGGCAAAUAAUAAACAACAUGAAGAAAAUGACCCAAUCAAGUUGGACGAGAUGGUGGAAGAUUUAUGAAUUUCCAGAACAAAGUAGUAGAGGGAGCCAUUGAUGGAGAGAACUUGAAGUGGCUUGAAAAAUGUAUUGUGGGUAGAAUGAGAAACAAUGCUACUGUGGGGUUAUGGGGUGAUACUGGAAUUUAUAAAAUUGGAGUCCAAAGAUUAUCGGGUAAUGAUUUGUAUGAAUUGGAAGCCAAUGAAUGGGGAGAUGUUUUGCAAGUGUUUCAGAAAGUUGAACGGUGGACAACAAAGAUGAAAGAGUAAGGUGGUUAUCCUGUUACGAGAUUCCAAUACAUGGUCUUCGAGGAGGAAGUAGUUAAACAACUUGCUGCUAUUGAAUAGUAAAAUUGGUUUGAUUUAUUAUUUUUGGUGCAAACAAUCAACACUCAAACGGUCAAUCGGCUGUCGGGUAGAGCACGUGCAAAACCAACCUAGCAUAUGAGAAUAUAUCCAAAAGAAGAAACUUAUCCAAGUCCAACCCCCCACAAGUUCCCAGUCGGCUCAUCCCAUUGACCUUUCCACAACUUCGAAUUGAUUGGUGCAAUGCGAGGUCCAAUAUUGGAAGGAGAAUGGAAUCUUAACCGUGGGACCACACUUAAGCCGGCGUCCUAAAUGAUUAGAUGCGUGGAAGACGGUGGGUAUUCUUUCACCCAAUAACAUCACUACAUAUACACAAACCAUGUCUGCCCAUCUAGUGGGCUACUUGUGAUAAAACAGGAAAGCAAUGAAAAAUAAUAAUAUAAAGAAGAGAAAAACAAAAUCCUACACCUAAUAUAAUUUUUCCUAAAUACAAGAAAACAAGUUUUGGGAUAGAAAAUCAUAUCGAAGAUUAAACGAUUCAAUUCAUUUAGAUUUGAACGUUAAUUAAAUGAUUAAACAUUCAAAUCUCGUUAAAUUCAUGAACACAAUUUACAAGCUUUUUAUUAGUUAGAAUAUUCUCUAAUGCUUAAACGGUAUCAAUUCAAUCGAUUUAGUUCUUUUAUUAAGAACUAAGAACUGUCAGAGACAUUUUAAAAGGGUUACGUAUAGCAUGGGAGAAAAAGUUUUGUCAAUUAGAGAUUAAGAGUGAUAACACUCUUCUGAUGGAGAUGAUUGCAGAGAGAGGAGCAGUUGAUAGUUAGUUGAUGGAAUUACAUUCUAUUCAUGGAAUGAUGCAUUGAGAUUGAAAGAUUUGUUUUCGACAUAUCCCAAGAACUCACAAGAUUAUAGCGACAAGAUUCACUGAGGUCCAAGUAUUUAAAAAUCCACUUUAUUUUGUACAAGAUUUAGAACAAGCAGAUUACAUUAGCGUUACACAGACUAAUACGUUAUCUUAAUAGUAUUAUUUUAAUUUACGAAAAUAAUAAUAAUGGAGCCCAUGCAUGGUUUUGGAAUCUUUUCUAUGUCACAGCUCUGGGGAUGGGGUCAAGACACAACUAUCCUUUUUUGAGGUCAAAUAAAUCUCAAUUAGUUUUUUUAACCCUCUGUAUAUUUAUCUAAUAAAAUUUUGAUAUAAAAUUUUCCACAUUUCAUAAUGAUCGAAGAAGUGUAAAAAAAAAAGUUGAUAAAAAGUUUAUAAUUCAAAAUUGUUCCAUAUCUUGGAUUAUUUACCUGAAAAUUUGAUAUGUUAUAUAAAAAUUUAUUUUAUGAUCAAUAUAUAUCAAGAAAAAAAAUUGAUUAAAAAUAUCCACCAAAAUGAUAAGAAUGUACAUAAUUCAAAAUUUUAAACAUCUUAUUUUUAAACUGAUAUUCCUAUGUAAAUUAUAUAUUUUAAAAUAUGUUUUUAAUACUGAUAUUUCUUAAGAAAUUUGUUUCUAAAUUAAAUAUUUUUUUUUCAGAAUUAUCUUAAAAUUUUUGAAAUUUAUGUUUGUUUAAAUAUUGAAAUAAUUUUUGAUACGCUGCUUGUGGAAAAAGAUUGACAAAAAAUAGUAAAAUAUUAAAAAAAGGACACAUACUACCAAUACACAAAAUAUAUUAUCUAUUUUAUAACAUAUUACUUAAAAUAAAUAUUUUAUUUUCACAACAAUACUAAAAAUAUAAAUUUUAGAGUAAAAAUUUUUGAAAGCGAAGCUGGUCAACUUGCCUUUAAACAAGUGGCGAAAAUGCGUCCAAAUUAUAUCAAAGUGAGAAACAGGGAGUGGGAUUCAAGAUUUUGUCGUCUGUGAUAGGCGGCCACCGAUUUAUAUCCCUCAUCAAAUAUAGAUAUAUUAAUCAUUUUUUAAAAUAUUCGAUAUUUAUAUUCAAUAUAAAUCUACCCUUGACGGAAUAGUUUAGUGUAAGCUUGGUUUAAAUCAGUUGAGGUUUCAAAUAAGGAUAGUUUGCAACUCUCCUAAUUUCUUCAUCAUUUAAAGAAAGAAACAAAAGCAUGGAUCCAAGCUUGAGAGAAGUAGCUGGAACAGGAGAUACUGAUGCCUUGUACGCUCUAAUUCGAAAGGAUCCGUACAUGUUGGAGCAUAUUGAUCAGAUUCCUUUCACCGAUACUCCACUUCACAUAGCAGCAAAUGAAGGCCAAAUUAAGUUUGCAAUGGAGAUGAUCAACUUGAAGCCUUCGUUUGGUCGGAAGCUAAACCCAGACGGGUUUAGCCCCAUGCACUUGGCCCUCAAAAUGGGGCAUACCAAGCUAGUGCUUCGACUGUUGAAGACCGAUAAAGACCUGGUUCGCGUCAAAGGAAGGGAAGGGAUGACUCCUUUCCAUUGGGCAGCUGCAGUGGGGAACUCUAAUCUUUUAUUCCACUUCCUUGAAACUUGCCCUGAAUGCGUUGAGGAUGUCACGGUUCGUAACGAGACUGCAUUACAUCUUGCUCUGAAAAACGACCACACCGACGCUUUUAAUCUCUUACAUGGAUGGCUUCGAAAGAACCGUUGUGGAGGAGGCAAGGAUUUGGAAAGAAAGGUUGUGAAUUGGAGAGAUGAUGAUGACAACACUGCGUUGCACAUUGCAGCUACAAAGCAACAACAUCAGGUAUAUAUGCAAUAUAAUGAUAAGUUGCGUUCCUUUGAUCAUUUUAUUAAUUAUGACUAUUUAUAAUAUACUAUGCAGGCAGUACAACUGUUGUUGGAGUCCUUUUAUGGGUUAGAUGCAAACGCUAAGAACUCGGAAGGUUUGACAGCUCGAGAAAUCAUAGAAAGGGUUGAAAGACAAGGGCUGAACAUGAGUGGCGCCGAAGACGAUGAUACCACCACCGCCAAGAUUGAGCGCAUUAAGAACAGAACUAGUAGGUCUGAAAGAGCAUUAGUAAAGUUGAUUCGUGCAAGGAAUGGGUUGUCAGAGAACAUGCUCAACGCAACACUGGUGGUAGCGGCGCUGGUCAUAACAGCAAUCUACCAGUCAUCUUUAAGCCCACCAAGAGGUCUUUGGCAAGGUGAUAACACUAUCCGCACCACCACCUCAAACCUUACUUCUACUACUAAAUUUACACUCUUUAACGACAAUUACGAUAUAGCAAGUUCUAGACAUGUGUUGGGUGAAGAAACAAGGAAAACUGGUACAACAAUCAUGAACCCCAACUUGUUUUUAGGGUUUUGGUUAUUCAAUUUAAUAGCAUUUGGGCUUCCAGUUCUUCUAACCGUUUUGCUUUUAUCCAAUGUACCUAGUAUUCUUCUCAUCCCGCUUUAUUAUCUAUCCGUCUCCUACUUCAACUGCAUGACAAUAAUAUCUCCUUCCUCGUUUUGGGCAAGCAUCAACUAUGUUAUCAUGUGGGCAGCAAUUGGUCUCCCGUUGCUCUUAGUUGUUAGAAGCGUAUGGUUAUGGAAGCAGCCAAAGUACAGGGAAAUCAGACAAUUACGCAGACUUUUCCGCAAGUAAAAUAAUGUUGGAACCAUUCAACGGUUGCGAAUGUCAAUGUUGUUUAUAUGUUCUCUUACGUUAUGUACUUUUUUCCAUUUUCGGUAAAAAAUUUAUGUAAUUGUUUUGGAUAAAUUUAAUAAAUAAGAUUACUUUUUCCAACAAUAUCUUUGUCCUUUGCAACAGAAAAAAAAAACAUAGAAAAACCAACCAUCCUAUUUUAUAAUUUAAAAGAAUAUUUUCCUUUUUGUAAAAAGAGAUAUUUUCGAAGUAUUGUUAAUUCAAAAUUAACAAAUUUUUUAAUAAAUCGAUAUUAUUCUCUAAAUAUUUUCUAAAAAAAAUACAAAUUCAUAAACAACAGCUAUAUUCUUUUUCGUUGUGAUUUCGGCAAUAUAAGGCCGAAUUAAAUUUGUAAAAAGGGGUUACGAAGAUUGUAUCAAGAAACGAUUAGAAGAAUAUAAAAAAAAAAACAACACAGAGAAAAAUAGCAAUUUGGAGAGGUGAUUUUCUCUUUGGGAUUUUCUUUUCAUUUUUUCCUUUUGAUUUACUGUUUUUUGCAUAAAACAAAUAGAAAAGAAAAGGAGGAACCAUACCUGGGAGGCGUGCUUCCGAAGCCCUUCCUUGUUCUGUGCAGGGUGCAGAAUGAAGGAGUAGAGGGCUUUUGGGAAGAAGCGGCGCACGCAGGAGAGGAAUAACCUAGGGGUUUUUUUUUUUUUUUUUAAACCUUUAAAUGGCUUUUAUGCAGCAUACAACACGGCACCGUUUGGAGCCUGAUCAGUGGUUUCAAAACGGUGCCGUAUAGGCCUGUACCCAUGCGCGACCCGAUCCGACCCUGAGAGGAUCCGCGCGUUUUGUAAAUGGUUUAUUUUCUCGUUUGAUCCUUCUUGUUUUUCAAAAUGUGUUUAAUUAUUUUUUUCUUUUUAAAUUCAAUCACAAGUUUUAUUUCUGUUCUAAUUUAAUCCCCUAUCUGUUAUUAGUUAUUUAUUAUUAAUUAUUUUUACUAUUAUUUUUAUUAUUGUAUAAUAUCAUUUUUAUGGUGUUAUUAUUACCAUUACAACCAUAUUUAUGCAUACAUUUUUUUUGAAAUAUACGUACAUUUUUUUAUAAUUUAUAUAUGUACAUACGUUUUUAUAUUACACAAUUUAUAUACGUAUCUUUAUAUAUAUUUAAAUACAUAUUACUUUAAUUUUCAUAAAUAUAUAUAUACAUUUACAUUUUAUAAUACAUAUACAUUUUCCAAACUUUAUAGUCCAUACGUAUAUACAUUCAUUUUCUAUAAUAUACAUAUACGUACAUUUUUUGAAAUUAUUAUAAAUAUUUUUUUUGCAUAUUUCAUUUUUUAUAUACAUAUACUUAUAUAUACAUAUUUUAAUACAUGCAUAUACAUAUUUUCAUAGUUUACUUAUAUAUUAUACUUAUACAUUUUUUAUAUUUUGUAAAUAUAAGCCGACCGAGAGGUCUUUGGCAAGGUGAUAACACGAGUAACCCCACCACCACCUCAAACCUUACUACUACCACUAAAUUUAAACUCUUUAACGACAAUUACGCUGAAAAACUUUCUAAACAUGUGUUGGGUGAAGAAACAAUGAAAACUGGUACAGCAAUCAUGAAUCCCAACUUGUUUUUAGGGUUUUGGUUAUUCAAUUUUAUAGCAUUUGGGCUUCCGGUUCUUCUAACCGUUUUCCUUUUAUAUUCUUCUUCUCCCGCUUUAUUUUCUAUCCGUCUCCUACUUUAACUGCAUGACAUUAAUAUCUCCGUCCAUGUUUUGGGCAAACCUCAACUCUGUUGUCAUGUGGGCAGCCAUUAUUCUCCCGUCUCUCUUAGUUUUUGGAGGCGUAUGGUUAUGGAUGCUGCCAAAGUACCGGGAAAUCAGACAAAUACGCAGACGUGUCCGCAAUGACAAUAAUGUCGGAAUAAUUCAAUUCAUGCGAAUGUCAGUCUAAUUUAUAUAUUAUAUUAUGUACUCUUUUCCAUUUUCUCUGUAUUAAUAUCUUUUCUUUUUGAAAAAAAAACACUAUGUAAUUGCUUUGGAUAAAUUUAAUAAAAACAGAUAUAUUUGAAGUAUUGUUUGUUUAAAAUCGACUGAUUUCUAAAUGUGUUAUAUUACUUUCGAGUUAUUAAUUAAAAAUAUCUUUAACAUAAAGAUAUAUGUAAUAGUUACAUAUUUAUUAUUUUAUUUAUAUAAUAAAAAAGUUAUUGAUUAAAAAGAUGAAUUAAAAAAUUAAAAAAUAAUAUAUUUAUUAAUUAAAAAGCACUAUUUUUUAAAAUAACAUGAGAUAAAAAUAUAAAUAUGCGUAGGAGAUGAAUUAAAACCGAGUCUCAAAAAUAAAAUUACUAACAUUUAACUUUUUGAUCAAAUGAAUUAAUGCGUCAAGUUAUUAAAAAUAUAUAUAUUUUAUCCUACAAGACGCAUUUUAUAUUUCUUUCUCUAAAAUCAACUUAUUUCUAUAAAUAUUAAAAAAAUCUACCUAAUACUCUAAUUAUUUUCUAAAAAGGACAUAUAUUGCUAGUAUACCCUAAAACUAGGAAGGGUGCCUGUGGUGCGCCACGCUUUCUAAAGCAAAUAAUAAUAAUAAUAAUAAUAAUAAUAAUAAUAAUAAUAAUACAUUAACCUAAAUUUCAUGAGAGUUUGGUGUCCCUUUUCUUAAUUCUAAAAAAAUAAAAUCUCUCAAAUAAAAAUAAUAAAUAAAAUAAUCUUAAGUCUCGUAUGCGAAAUUGAGUUUUUGUGUCAAAUUUUUUGUGUAAUUUGUAUAUUCGUUAGUUUCCGACUUAUUGAACAAUAAUUGUAUUUAUAUAGAAAUGAUAAAUUAAGUAAAAUUCAUGUCCAAAAUUAAUUAAAAUAAAUAAUAAAAAUAUAUCAAUUAAGCACAUUAUCAUCUAUAUUUUAUAAUAUUAACUAAUUUAACUAUCAUUUAAAUAUAUAUUAUCUACUUUAACAUAAAUAUUUUAUCUUUUAAAAAAUACUCUUCUUUUUUUUAAAAAAAAAAAAAACAAAGACCGGACAUAUUUAUUGAAGUAAUACAACAACAUUGUAGAAAUGAGAAUAAAAAACAAAAAACAGCCAAAUAAAUAUAAACCCUAGGACUUAAAACAUUUUUCAUCUAAAAACAAGAAUAUUAAAAUAGUGAAAAACCUCCAAAUUUACCGUUAUCUACAUCCAUUACUAAUCGUAGACGGUGACAAAGACAUUCGACAGAUGAUAAGCAUUAAAAAUUACUCUUUUAACUACAAUACUAAAAGCGUCCGCAAACCAUUUUUCAAUAAAGAUAUUAAUCAAGCCGGAUUAAUUUAGAGUUAAAUCGAGUAAGUCUAAGGGUGGAUUUGGAUGGGUGAUUGGGUGCUGUGCGGUACGUUUAGUUUACUUUUUGUCUCACGCUAUAGUAUCGCUACAGUAUCUAAUCUUACCGCCAUCGCUAUUUUUACACUAACCGCAGGUAAACCCACCGCCUAUCCAAACUCACUCUAGAUUAAGUCCGUAGAUGAAUUUCCACAUCUUUUUUUAGGCAUUAAAUUGAGAGCCAAUCAAACCUUCCCCUAAUUCCCCUUACCAAUCUAUAAAAAAUUGGAUCUUUGGUUUGAUUUUAUCAAUAAUAAAUUUGAUAACUUUUAUCAUUAUCAUUAUUUUGUUCACUUUUCAUCAAUAAUGAGAUCAAUUGUUUCGCUAAUAGAAUAGAAAAUAGAUAGUUGCUUCCUAUUUCAGCAAUAUUAUAAUGGUACCAUGUGUUUUUAUGUUUUUAAUUUUUAAUAUAAUUAAAGGAUGCAUUGUAAUGUAAAGAAUAAUAAUUCUAAUUAUCUAUGCUUAAAAUUAAUUCAGUUGUGCUUUCAAUCAAUGUAUGAUUUUGAUAUUGCAAGAGGUGUCCAGCUAUGUGGUGAGAUCUUGAAGGUGUGUCUUUGUAACAACUUGAGAAGCUUUUUGGAUUUUUUUUCUUCUUCUUUUAGGUUUAUUAUUAGUAAAUGAAUUUUUGCUGCAAAAAAUUAGCUUAAAAACAAAAUAUAAAAAUGAUAGGAAAUAUGUUAAUUUUAUACAACGACAAUUAAUGACAUUGCAAUAUAUUACUUAACAACAUGAACAAUCCCCACCAUCGUAUUGUCAUUCCCAAGUAAUGGCGUAUUCUCUUUACUUGGAAAAUAUCCCUCCUAACGCUGGCCGAAAUUGGUUGAAACAUUAUGCAGCUCAUUUGGUAAGAUAAUGGACGUGUUUAUUGCAUCAAAAAGAAAUAGAAGAGGUCGUCGGUUUUGUUUCGUUAGGUAUGGUAGGUUGGAAGAAGCAAAGAGAGCAUUGUGGAGUCUAGAUGGAAGGUGGUUCUCUAAUCAUAGAUUGACAGUCAGUAUGGCGAAGUUUAUACCUAGAGAUGAUUUGUGGAGGAAGGCAAAUGGGAGAGAGAUCAGACAACAUACAUAGAAUAUGGAAAGAAGAUGUGUUGAAGGAAAUACGGGACCGCAUGUAGGGAAGAAUGCAAGUGAGAUUAUGGCAAAUAAUAAACAACAUGAAGAAAAUGACCCAAUCAAGUUGGACGAGAUGGUGGAAGAUUUAUGAAUUUCCAGAACAAAGUAGUAGAGGGAGCCAUUGAUGGAGAGAACUUGAAGUGGCUUGAAAAAUGUAUUGUGGGUAGAAUGAGAAACAAUGCUACUGUGGGGUUAUGGGGUGAUACUGGAAUUUAUAAAAUUGGAGUCAAAAGAUUAUCGGAUAAUGAUUUGUAUGAAUUGGAAGCCAAUGAAUGGGGAGAUGUUUUGUAAGUGUUCAGAAAGUUGAACGGUGGACCACAAAGAUGAAAGAUUAAGGUGGUUAUCCUGUUACGAGAUUCCAAUACAUGCUUGGUCUUCGAGGAGGAAGUAGUUAAACAACUUGCUGGCUUGCUGCUAUUGAAUAUUAUAAUUGGUUUGAUUUAUUAUUUUUGGUACAAACAAUCAAGACUCAAACAGUCAAUCGACUGUCGGAUAGAGCACGUGCAAAACCAACCUAACAUAUGAGAAUAUAUCCAGAAGAAGAAACUUAUCCAAGUCCAACCCCCCACAAGUUGCCAAUCGGCUCAUCCCAUUGACCUUUCCACACCUUCGAAUUGAUUGGUGCAAUGCGAGGUCCAAUAUUGGAAGGAGAAUGGAAUCUAAACCGUGGGACCACACUUAAGCCGGCGUCCUAAAUGACUAGAUGCGUGGAAGACGGUGGGUAUUCUUUCACCCAAUAACAUCACUACAUAUACACAAACCAUGUCUGCCCAUCUUGUGGGCUACUUGUGAUAAAACAGGAAAACAAUGAAAAAUAAUAAUAUAAAGAAGAGAAACAAAAUCCACACCUAAUAUAAUUUUUCCUAAAUACAAGAAAACAAGUUUUGGGAUAAAAAAUCAUAUCGAAGAUUAAAGGAUUCAAUUCAUUUAGACUUGAAUGUUAAUUGAAUGAUUAAACAUUCAAAUCUCGUUAAAUUCAUGAACAGCUUUUCAUUAGAUAGAAUAUUCUCUAUUUCUUAAAUUUAAUUCUUUUAUAUUAAGAUCUGUUUGAGACAUUAAAAAUUGGUUUAAUUUACCAAAAUAAUAAUAAUGAGGCCCAUGGUUUUGGAAUCUUUUCUAUGUCACAGCUAUGGGGAUGGGGUCAAGACACAGCUGUCCUUUUUUGAGGUCAAAUAAAUUGAUUAAAAAUAUCCACCAAAAUGAUAAGAAUGUACAUAAUUCAUCUUAUUUUUAAACUGAUAUUCCUAAGUAUAUUAUAUAUUUUUAAUACUGAUAUUUCUUAAUAAAUUUGUUUCUAAAUUAAAUAUUUUUUUUCAAAAUCAUCUUAAAGUUUUUGAAACUUAUGUUUGUUUAAAUAUUAAAAUAAUUUUUAAUACACUGCUUGUGGAAAAAGUUUGACAAAAUAUAAUAAAAUAUCAAAAAAAAGACGCAUACCAAUACACAAAAUAUAUUAUCUAUUUUAUAACAUAUUAUUUAAAAUAAAUAUUUUAUUUUCUAAAAGUAAUUUUUUACCGCAAUACCAAAAAUAUAAAUUUUAGAGUAAAAUUUCUGAAAGCGAAGCUGGUCAACUUGCCUUGAAACAGAUGGCGAAAAUGAGUCCAAAUUAUAUCGGAGCGAGAAACAGGGAGUGGGAUUCAAGAUUUUGACGUACUGUAUAGGCGGCCACCGAUUUAUAUCCCUCGUCAUAUAUAGAUAUAUUAAUCAUUUUUUAAAAUAUUCGAUAUUUAUAUUCAAUAUAAAUCUACCCUUGACGGAUUAAUUAGUUUAGUGCAAGCUUGGUUUAAAUCAGUUGAGGUUGCAAAUAAGGAUAGUCAGUUUGCAACUCUCCUAAUUUUUUCAUCAUUUAAAGAAAGAAACAAAAGCAUGGAUCCAAGCUUGAGAGAAGUAGCUGGAACAGGAGAUACUGAUGCCUUGUACGCUCUAAUUCGAAAGGAUCCGUACAUGUUGGAGCAUAUUGAUCAGAUUCCUUUCAUCGAUACUCCACUUCACAUAGCAGCAAAUGAAGGUCAAAUUAAGUUUGCAAUGGAGAUGAUCAACUUGAAGCCUUCGUUUGGUCGGAAGCUAAACCAAGACGGGUUUAGCCCCAUGCACUUGGCCCUCCAAAUGGGGCAUACCAAGCUAGUGCUUCGACUGUUGAAGACCGAUAAAGACCUGGUUCGCGUCAAAGGAAGGGAAGGGAUGACCCCUUUCCAUUGUGCAGCUGCAGUGGGGAACUCUAAUCUUUUAUUCCACUUCCUUGAAACUUGCCCUGAAUGCGUUGAGGAUGUCACGGUUCGUAACGAGACUGCAUUACAUCUUGCUCUGAAAAACGACCACACCGACGCUUUUAAUCUCUUACAUGGAUGGCUUCGAAAAAACCGUCGUGGAGGAGGCAAUGGUUUGGAAAGAAAGGUUGUGAAUUGGAGAGAUGAUGAUGACAACACUGUGUUGCACAUUGCAGCUACAAAGCAACAACAUCAGGUAUAUAUGCAAUAUAAUGAUAAGUUGCGUUCCUUUGAUCAUUUUAUUAAUGAUUAUUUAUAAUAUUCUACGCAGGCAGUACAACUGUUGUUGGAUUCCUUUUAUGGGUUAGAUGCAAACGCUAAGAAUUCGGAAGGCUUGACAGCUCGAGAAAUCAUAGAAAGGGUUGAAAGACAAGGGUUGAACAUGAGUGGCGCCGAAGACGAUGAUACCACCACCGCCAAGAUUGAGCGCAUUAAGAAAAGAACUAGUAGGUCUGAAAGAGCAUUAGUAAAGUUGAUUCGGGCAAGGAAUGGGUUGUCAGAGAACAUGCUCAACGCAACACUGGUGGUAGCGGCGCUGGUCAUAACAGCAAUCUACCAGUCAUCUUUAAGUCCACCAAGAGGUCUUUGGCAAGGUGAUAACACUAGUAUCCCCACCACCACCUCAAACCUUACUACUACUACUAAAUUUAAACUCUUUAACGACAAUUACAGUGAGUAUCGUUUUAAAUUUCUGUUGGGUGAAGAAACAAGGAAAACCGGUACUGCAGUCAUGAAUCCCAACUUGUUUUUAGGGUUUUGGUUUUUCAAUUUUAUAGCAUUUGGGCUUCCAGUUCUUCUAACCGUUUUGCUUUUAUCCAAUGUACCUAGUAUUCUUCUCAUCCCGCUUUAUUAUCUAUCCGUCUCCUACUUUAACUGCAUGACAAUAGUAUCUCCUUCCACGUUUUGGGCAAACCUCAACUUUGUUGUCAUGUGGACAGCCAUUCUUCUCCCGUUGCUCUUAGUUGUUAGAAGCGUAUGGUUAUCGAAGCAGCCAAAGUACAGGGAAAUCAGACAAUUACG
rnacentral:lncRNA from 1 species